UCCUCCUGCACUUUUAAAGGAUCUUA
rnacentral:tRNA from 1 species